AGUGAACGCUGGCGGUAGACCUAACACAUGCAAGUCGAACGGCAGCACAGUAAGAGCUUGCUCUUACGGGUGGCGAGUGGCGGACGGGUGAGGAAUACAUCGGAAUCUACUUUUUCGUGGGGGAUAACGUAGGGAAACUUACGCUAAUACCGCAUACGACCUACGGGUGAAAGCAGGGGAUCUUCGGACCUUGCGCGAUUGAAUGAGCCGAUGUCGGAUUAGCUAGUUGGCGGGGUAAAGGCCCACCAAGGCGACGAUCCGUAGCUGGUCUGAGAGGAUGAUCAGCCACACUGGAACUGAGACACGGUCCAGACUCCUACGGGAGGCAGCAGUGGGGAAUAUUGGUCAAUGGGCGCAAGCCUGAUCCAGCCAUACCGCGUGGGUGAAGAAGGCCUUCGGGUUGUAAAGCCCUUUUGUUGGGAAAGAAAAGCAGCAGGUUAAUACCCCGCUGUUCUGACGGUACCCAAAGAAUAAGCACCGGCUAACUUCGUG
rnacentral:rRNA from 1 species